AAAUUGGGAUGGGUGAAGAGAGGAUCCAGAGCCAUGGUUAUCAGCUCCAGGAUCUGGUGGAUCAGACGCUUGCUGGAGCGAGGAAACUCCUGCCAUUAGAACGAGUGAACAGUAACAAGGGAACAGAUGAGGAGAGAGAAGAGAGAAAAAGAGAUAUUUUCUCAAAAUAUAUCUCGGCUUAACUUUGUCUCUGUUGACACCUCAUUCUCUGUUUCUGUUGACACCUCAUUCUCUGUUUCUUACCCAUUCAUGCAGCUUCGGUUUGUUAGCCGCUGGAGCAGUGUUUUCAAUCGUUGCAUGUUGGGAAAACAAAAUUAAUCUCAGUUUUUUUAUGUAUCUUCUUCUAUAUAUAUAUUUUGGAUUAUUAUUUCAUUAUUAAAAUUGUAACUAUAUAAGAUUAGUAAAGUAUUGUUUAUUGUCAUAUUCAAAGAUAUUAUAACAUUUCACAAAUUUAGAAAGUUCUUAAAAAAUUAAACUUUUCACUUCAUAGAUUUAUAUUAUCGAGUAAAUAAUUAACCAUUUAGUUUCUCUUUAAUUUUUAAAAUAAACUAUAUAGUUUUAAAUUUGCAACGAUUAAUCAUUGUUAGAUAAUCUGAUUUUUGUUUUUU